UGGUGUCAUUAGCAGAGGGUCUUACCAUC
rnacentral:piRNA from 1 species